rnacentral:lncRNA from 10 species
UUCAUCAUCCUCUCCAGCUUCCAGGCUUGGCCACGGGAGGCAGCUUUGUGGAUCUUCCUGAGAUCCCCAUGGUGAAUCACCUCUGAUCCUCAAUUUUAUAUACUACACCUGGUGGUGGCUCAGUGUUCACUCCGAAAAAUGAAAAAUUGCCCAUUUUUGUGAAAAAGUUCUACUGAUAUGUGAAGGCUGAGUUCUAUUGGAACCACCAAGUCAUGACACCAGAAGGGAAAAGAAGUAGUUCAUCAUGAGGUGGAAAUAUCUCUCUCUGUGGUCCAAGCUGGAGUGCAGUGGCGGGAUCUCGGCUCACUUCAACCUCUACCUCCCGAGUUCAAGCAAAUCUCCUGCCUCAGCCUCAUGAGUAGCUGGGAUUACAGGCAUCCACCACCAGAGACGGCUAAUUUUUUCUUUGUAUACUUUUAUUUAAUUCGGCUUAGGUUACUUGUUUAUUAGUAGUAGUUUUGCAUCUAUGGGAUUGUUGUAUAAAAUAAAUGGUUUAAAUAUGUAGAA